rnacentral:lncRNA from 1 species
CAUCAUGUCAAUGUUGCAUUGCGGUGCAGGUCGUGUUGUGAUCGACUAUAAUGACAGAACCUGCUAGUAAUAAUAUCUCGUUGGAUCCAGACCACCAGCCCAAUUGAUUAAGCACAGUUAUUAUUACUAGAGUAUAUGGCCUCUUACCUUGACGUAUUCGUCAAGUCCAAAUCGAAUCACAAAAAUAAAGACUAUAAUUAUCCACCCUGAUGUCUUAAUUAGUUUCAAAUUUGAUCAUAGACAUAUGGACCAUAAUUAUUUGGUAUUUUUGAUACCAAAUGUAAUGAUCCAACUCACUGGCAGUAGUAACUAUGUUGGACCUAAACCACCAAUCCAAAAUAUUUAAGCCAAAUUACUAUUAUUAGGAUCUAUGAUAUCUUAUAUAUAUAUCCCAUCAUAAUUCAUUUUCAUCUAAUAUGAGAAUAUUGGAAUGUCACAUCAACUAUAUAUACUGGGCCCUAUAAUUG